rnacentral:rRNA from 1 species
UACGGGGGGAGCAAGCGUUGUUCGGAUUUACUGGGCGUAAAGGGCGCGUAGGCGGUCAGCACAAGUCAGUUGUGAAAUCUCCGGGCUUAACUCGGAAAGGUCAACUGAUACUGUGCGACUAGAGUGCGGAAGGGGCAACUGGAAUUCUCGGUGUAGCGGUGAAAUGCGUAGAUAUCGAGAGGAACACCUGCGGCGAAGGCGGGUUGCUGGGCCGACACUGACGCUGAAGCGCGAAAGCCAGGGGAGCGAACGGG